rnacentral:rRNA from 1 species
UACGUAGGGUGCAAGCGUUGUCCGGAAUUAUUGGGCGUAAAGAGCUCGUAGGCGGUCUGUCACGUCGGCUGUGAAAUCCCGAGGCUCAACCUCGGGUCUGCAGUCGAUACGGGCAAACUAGAGUAUUGCAGGGGGAGACUGGAAUUCCUGGUGUAGCGGUGAAAUGCGCAGAUAUCAGGAGGAACACCGGUGGCGAAGGCGGGUCUCUGGGCCGAUACUGACGCUGAGGAGCGAAAGCGUGGGGGAGCGAACAGG